GCACUCGUGGCGCAGAGGAUAAGAGGCUUGUCUAUGGAGCAAAAGGUCACGGGUUCGAGUCCCUGUUGAGGCA